GACGAACGCUGGCGGCGUGCUUAACACAUGCAAGUCGAACGGUAAGGCCCCUUCGGGGGUACGACGAGUGGCGAACGGGUGAGUAACACGUGAGCAACCUGCCCUUGACUUCGGAAUACCAGCUGGAAACAGCUGCUAAUACCGGAUAUGACCUCGACCCUCCUGGGUUGGGGUGGAAAGCUCCGGCGGUCAGGAUGGGCUCGCGGCCUAUCAGCUUGUUGGUGAGGUAAUGGCUCACCAAGGCUUCGACGGGUAGCCGGCCUGAGAGGGCGACCGGCCACACUGGGACUGAGAUACGGCCCAGACUCCUACGGGAGGCAGCAGUGGGGAAUAUUGCACAAUGGCGGCAAGCCUGAUGCAGCAACGCCGCGUGCGGGAUGACGGCCU
rnacentral:rRNA from 1 species